rnacentral:rRNA from 1 species
CCUACGGGAGGCAGCAGUGAGGAAUAUUGGUCAAUGGACGAGAGUCUGAACCAGCCAAGUAGCGUGAAGGAUGACUGCCCCAUGGGUUGUAAACUUCUUUUAUAAAGGAAUAAAACGAGGCACGUGCGCCUUUUUGCAUGUACUUUACGAAUAAGGCUCGGCGAACUCCGUGCCAGCAGCCGCGGUAAUACGGAGGGUGCGAGCGUUAAUCGGAAUUACUGGGCGUAAAGCGUCCGUAGGCGGUAUGUCAAGUCAAGGGUGAAAUCCCCGCGCUCAACGUGGGAACUGCCUUUGAUACUGGCAAACUGGAGUGUGUGAGAGGAUAGGGGAAUUCCAGGUGUAGGAGUGAAAUCCGUAGAUAUCUGGAGGAACAUCAGUGGCGAAGGCGACUAUCUGGCACAUAACUGACGCUGAGGAGCGAAAGCGUGGGUAGCAAACGGGAUUAGAUACCCCAGUAGUC